rnacentral:rRNA from 1 species
UUAAGCAUAUCAAUAAGCGGAGGAAAAGAAACCAACAGGGAUUGCCCUAGUAACGGCGAGUGAAGCGGCAACAGCUCAAAUUUGAAAUCUGGCUCUCGGGCCCGAGUUGUAAUUUGUAGAGGAUACUUUUGAUGCGGUGCCUUCCGAGUUCCCUGGAACGGGACGCCAUAGAGGGUGAGAGCCCCGUCUGGUUGGAUGCCAAAUCUCUGUAAAGUUCCUUCGACGAGUCGAGUAGUUUGGGAAUGCUGCUCUAAAUGGGAGGUAUAUGUCUUCUAAAGCUAAAUAUUGGCCAGAGACCGAUAGCGCACAAGUAGAGUGAUCGAAAGAUGAAAAGCACUUUGAAAAGAGAGUUAAAAAGUACGUGAAAUUGUUGAAAGGGAAGCGUUUAUGACCAGACUUGGACUUGGUUAAUCAUCUGGGGUUCUCCCCAGUGCACUUCUCCAGUUCAGGCCAGCAUCAGUUUUCGCCGGGGGAUAAAGGCAGCGGGAAUGUGGCUCUCUUCGGGGAGUGUUAUAGCCCGUUGUGUAAUACCCUGGUGGGGACUGAGGUUCGCGCUUCUGCAAGGAUGCUGGCGUAAUGGUCAUCAACGACCCGUCUUGAAACACGGACCAAGGAGUCGUCUUCGUAUGCGAGUGUUCGGGUGUCAAACCCCUACGCGUAAUGAAAGUGAACGCAGGUGAGAGCUUCGGCGCAUCAUCGACCGAUCCUGAUGUUCUCGGAUGGAUUUGAGUAAGAGCAUACGGGGCCGGACCCGAAAGAAGGUGAACUAUGCCUGUAUAGGGUGAAGCCAGAGGAAACUCUGGUGGAGGCUCGCAGCGGUUCUGACGUGCAAAUCGAUCGUCAAAUAUGGGCAUGGGGGCGAAAGACU